UCACCCCUCAAGCUCAGCUUGGUGUUGGGACCUGCUGUCACCGGCAGUCCCUAAAAUCAGUGGCGGUGCCGUCAGGCUCUAAGCGUAGUAAUACUCCUCGCUAUAGGGUCCUGGUGGUGUCUUGCCAAAACCCCCCAUUUUUUCAU
rnacentral:misc_RNA from 1 species